UACGGAGGAUCCAAGCGUUAUCCGGAUUUAUUGGGUUUAAAGGGUGCGUAGGUGGCUUUUUAAGUCAGGGGUGAAAGACGGUAGCUUAACUAUCGCAGUGCCUUUGAUACUGAAGAGCUUGAAUGAACUAGAGGUAGGCGGAAUGUGACAAGUAGCGGUGAAAUGCAUAGAUAUGUCACAGAACACCAAUUGCGAAGGCAGCUUACUAUGGUUUUAUUGACACUGAGGCACGAAAUCGUGGGGAUCAAACAGG
rnacentral:rRNA from 1 species